rnacentral:rRNA from 1 species
UACGAAGGGGGCGAGCGUUGUUCGGAAUUACUGGGCGUAAAGGGCGCGUAGGCGGCCCCUUUUGUCGCGUGUGAAAGCCCCGGGCUCAACCUGGGAGGUGCGCGCGAAACGGGGGGGCUUGAGUUCGGGAGAGGAGAGUGGAAUUCCCAGUGUAGAGGUGAAAUUCGUAGAUAUUGGGAAGAACACCGGUGGCGAAGGCGGCUCUCUGGACCGAGACUGACGCUGAGGCGCGAAAGCGUGGGGAGGCAAACAGG